rnacentral:rRNA from 1 species
GAUGAACGCUAGCUGCAGGCUUAACACAUGCAAGUCGAGGGGAAACGGCAUCGAAAGCUUGCUUUUGAUGGGCGUCGACCGGUGCACGGGUGAGUAACGCGUAUCCAACCUGCCCAUCACUUGGGAAUAACCUUGCGAAAGUAAGACUAAUGCCCAAUGACAUCCCACGAAGGCAUCCGAAUGGGAUUAAAGAUUUAUCGGUGAUGGAUGGGGAUGCGUCUGAUUAGCUUGUUGGCGGGGUGACGGCCCACCAAGGCAACGAUCAGUAGGGGUUCUGAGAGGAAGGUCCCCCACAUUGGAACUGAGACCCGGUCCAAACUCCUACGGGAGGCAGCAGUGAGGAAUAGUGGUCAAUGGGCGAGAGCCUGAACCAGCCAAGUAGCGUGCAGGAUGACGGCCCUAUGGGUUGUAAACUGCUUUUAUAAGGGAAUAAAGUGGGUCACGUGUGACUUUUUGCAUGUACCUUAUGAAUAAGGACCGGCUAAUUCCGUG